rnacentral:rRNA from 1 species
AUUGAACGCUGGCGGCAGGCCUAACACAUGCAAGUCGAACGAGUGGCGGACGGGUGAGUAAUGUCUGGGAAACUGCCCGAUGGAGGGGGAUAACUACUGGCAACGGUAGCUAAUACCGCAUACCAUCGGAUGUGCCCAGAGGGGAUUGUCUUGGAGGUGAGGUAACGGCUCACCUUGGCGACGAUCCCUAGCUGGUCUGAGAGGGUGACCAGCCACACUGGAACUGAGACACGGUCCAGAAUCCUACGGGAGGCAGCAGUGGGGAAUAUUGCACAAUGGGCGCAAGCCGGAUGCAGCCAUGCCGCGUGGAUGAAGAAGGCCUUCGGGUUGUAAAGUACUUUCAGCGGGGAGGCGUUACCCGCAGAAGAAGCACCGGCUAACGCCGUGCCAGCCGCCGCGGUAAUUC